rnacentral:rRNA from 1 species
AUCAGUGAGAAACCGUUGUGGCCUGUAGCCAUGCCAACAUCAUGGCCACCUCCUGUCCAAAUGACCCAAACUAAGCAGCUUUAGCUGGGUAAGUACUUGGAUGGGAAACCUCAUGGUAAAAUCCAGAUUUACUGGAA